rnacentral:rRNA from 1 species
UGGGGAAUAUUGGACAAUGGGCGCAAGCCUGAUCCAGCCAUGCCGCGUGAGUGAUGAAGGCCUUAGGGUUGUAAAGCUCUUUCGCCAGGUGAAGAUAAUGACGGUAACCGGAGAAGAAGCCCCGGCUAACUUCGUGCCAGCAGCCGCGGUAAUACGAAGGGGGCUAGCGUUGCUCGGAAUCACUGGGGCGUAAAGCGCACGUAGGCGGAUCGUUAAGUCAGGGGUGAAAUCCUGGAGCUCAACUCCAGAACUGCCCUUGGAUACUGGCGAUCUCGAGGUUCGAGAGAGGUUGGUGGAACUCCGAGUGUAGAGGUGAAAUUCGUAGAUAUUCGGAAGAACACCAGUGGCGAAGGCGGCCAACUGGCUCGAUACUGACGCUGAGGUGCGAAAGCGUGGGGAGCAAAACAGGAUUAGAUACCCUGGUAGUCCACGCCGUAAACGAUGGAUGCUAGCCGUUGGGAGCUUGCUCUUCAGUGGCGCAGC